rnacentral:lncRNA from 1 species
UAUGUAAAUUAUUUUCUAGAUCCUAACACCACAACUAGGUUAUGGGGACACAUGUUUGGGACACAUGUUUGGGACACUUUUGUGUAAGUGUCUCAUUUGUGCCAAAAUUUUUUUAAAAAUAUAUUAAUGCCUAAAUAUAAAGCCCAAUCCAACAAAAAAAAAAAGGUUACUCUACUUAACCCACCCCAUCCAGCCUGUUUAGCCCGAUUACAAACAGAAAAGAAAAAAAAAAUGAAAAAUUGAUUACCAUCUCUUCUUCUUCCCUCACUCAAUCCACUGAAAUUCUAGACGAAGAGCCCUUCCCUCCCCUCCUCCUCCGCCACGGCAGCAACGAGCUAGAGUUCCGGCGAUUGCUAAAUGCUUAAAUAAGUGUUGGUAAAUUAGCAACACUCUUUUUAGCUUAUAGCGACACUCUUUAACUGUCACUAUAUACCUAGCGACCCCACAUAUAGCAAUAUUUUUUAAAAGUGUCGGUAAUUUAGCAAGUAAUAUUUUUUUUAGCUGUACCGAUAUUUAAAAGUAUCGUUAUAGACCGUUUUUGUUGUAGUGUAAUAAAAUGUGCCCUAAUUUUCAAUAAAACUGAUCAGUUCCUUGCGAGAGGUGCAAAAUUAGAAGUUAAAUAGCUUCUUCGCUCAGGAAUAAAAACUUCACCUCUCAGAGCGUGUCUAAAUUUAGGAUUCG